rnacentral:rRNA from 1 species
AGUCCCCGACCACCUCCCCUCCUCGGAGGGGGGGCCGGGGCAACAGAACCCACGGCGCCGACGGCGUCAAGGAACACUAUGCCUAACUCGAGGGUGUGGUUGGCUUGCCACCCACCCCUCGUGUUGCGAUGCUAUCUAAUCCACACGACUCUCGGCAACGGAUAUCUCGGCUCUCGCAUCGAUGAAGAACGUAGCGAAAUGCGAUACCUGGUGUGAAUUGCAGAAUCCCGCGAACCAUCGAGUCUUUGAACGCAAGUUGCGCCCGAGGCCACCCGGCUGAGGGCACGCCUGCCUGGGCGUCACGCCAAUACACGCUCCCACCUCCCUCAUUGGAUGGCGGGAUGCGGAUUCUGGCCCUCCGUGCCGUGAGGCGCGGCGGGCCGAAGAUCGGGCUGCCGGCGUAUCGUGCCGGACACAGCGCGUGGUGGACUUCUACUCAGCGCAGUGCAUUCGGAACGUAGCCGGCGCAGCGGCCCCAAGGACCCAACGAACGGAGCGCAUGUCGCUCCGACCGCGACCCCAGGUCAGGCGGGACUACCCGCUGAGUUUAAGCAU